GUCUAUGCCCAUUCCACCUUGAACGUGCCCGAUCUCAUCUGAUCUUGGAAGCUAAGCAGGGUUGGGUCUGGUUAGUACUUGGAUGGGAGAAAUCAAAAUGUCCAGGAUA
ensembl:rRNA 5S_rRNA 5S ribosomal RNA